CCUAAAAGCACCUUCUCCAUUAGACGAAAUAGACUUAUUUCGUCUAUAUGGAGAAAGGCGCUUUUAGG
rnacentral:pre_miRNA from 1 species